rnacentral:tRNA from 1 species
CAGGGUAUAGCUCAAAGUGGUAGAGCACAUGCUUAGCAUGCACGAGGUCCUGGGCUCAAUCCCCAGCACCUUCU